UACGUAGGGUGCAAGCGUUAAUCGGAAUUACUGGGCGUAAAGCGUGCGCAGGCGGUUGUGUAAGACAGAUGUGAAAUCCCUGGGCUCAACCUGGGAACUGCAUUUGUGACUGCACAGCUGGAGUGCGGCAGAGGGGGGAUGGAAUUCCGCGUGUAGCAGUGAAAUGCGUAGAUAUGCGGAGGAACACCGAUGGCGAAGGCAAUCCCCUGGGCCUGCACUGACGCUCAUGCACGAAAGCGUGGGGAGCAAACAGG
rnacentral:rRNA from 1 species